AAUGGAUAUCUUGGCUCUCGUAUCGAUGAAGAACGUAGCGAAAUGCGACACUUGGUGUGAAUUGCAGAAUCCCGUGAACCAUCGAGUCUUUGAAUGCAAGUUGCGCUCGAGGCCGUU
rnacentral:rRNA from 1 species